UCCAUUACCAACCCUGGGGCGCCCCGGGGUCAAACAUGCAGCGUGGGGAUACGCGUUGGCCUUUGCUGCGCCAUUUCAAGUUUAGUUUAUUAUACAGGAAUAUAAUUCUGUAACACUAUAAUAUAAAUUUUAAAAUGCAGUUUAACAAUCAGUUAUAAACAAUUGGAAUACUGUUAUUUAUGAUCAUAUUAAUAAUACUUCUUUUUCUCUUUAUCAUGGUUUAUUCCGCUAUUUUUCCCAAUUUAAAAAGCACAGGCUGUAAGAUACAAUACAAGAAAAUCACUGGAAACAUUUUUGUAAGUUUUUUUUCAUUUUCAGACACUGUUAAUUACUUCCAGGGCCAAAAAACCCUUCUUCCCAAGGGGCCUCUUUUUCUUCCCCUUAACCAAAAAGGCCCUUUCCCCUACAGAAAUUUCUUUAAAAUCAUGCAUUUUUCUCUAAGUUUCAAAUCAUUCCCAAAAGCCAGAAAAUUGUGUCUUUUUUUCCCCUGAUAAAAAAGGCUGUGACCCUUUCCCCAAAGUUGGUGUUUUGGCCCUGACUUCAAAAGCUAUAUGCCUAUUUAUACAUAUUAGUUUCUUUUUUUUGGUAGAACAACAGGUUGAUAAAGAAUAUGUCACAGCUGUUAAUCACGCGCGCCACCUCUUUUUUGCGAUUCAUUAAUAAAUGAGCCAAUGCUACUUCCGAGGUGGCGCUAAUGACCGGAUGUUUUGAAAUUUCACGGAUAAUUGUACAAGCACGGACAUGAAUAAAGGAAACUAAAAAAAUAUAUGAAUGCAAAUCGUGUAACAAGUCAUUCACCACAAACAGCAGGCUGAAGUUCCACGUCAAAAACGGUAAUGUGAUUGGUAUGCAACCGUCGGUUUAGUUCCGUGUACAACUUAAAAGUACACCCAGUGCACCAGAAAGAUGUAGACGCGGGUUAAUGUUUGACAUGAUUUUCAACAAAGACGGAUUUGGGUAAUCAUUGUCGUCAGUAUCACGGCAGGGAGAAAUUGAAAUGUGAACAUGCAGAAUUUGGCUAUAUCCGAAACCUUAAACGCCAAGCACAGAUUUGCAGUGAUGGUCAAAACAAAACGCAUACAUGUGAUGAUUGUCAAAAAAUGUAUAGAUCCAAAGGAGCCCUAUAUAUGCACACCAGAGUUUAACACUUAGGGGAACAUUUGCAUUUUGCCAGAUUUGCGGGAAAAAGUUUGAGAAGGAAUUUUCACUUUCUCGGCACUUGAAAAAUGUGCACAAGAAUACAUGUAGGAGCAAUUUGCCAGAGUUGUUGAUUUGUUUAUUUAUGUAACGGGGGUUUUUCAGCACUGUCUGCGCCUCCGGAAAAUGGAGGCAUACCCAAAGCAAACGGACAGGAUCCCAAACCGAAAUUAUAAAAAAAAUUCCCAAUUCAAAAAAAAAAAAAAAAAUUCUGUUUUUAGAAAAAAGUGUCUUAUGACUUAUGAUUAUUAGUUUGUGAGAAGAAGUGUCUUAUGACUUAUGAUUAUCAGAUUAUUAUUAACCUGCUGUGCUCCCUAUUACCACACGGUUUGGUUUAAACAUACUCAUCUGAUGCUUACACUUUGUACCUGCAUUAAAGGUCUAGUGACAAAUGACAAAACAUUGGAGGAGCUGUGUGAUGCUUUCACAAACAGAAAGUAGAGAAAAAUUAUGCAAAUUGUGUCACUAACCAGUGUUUGUUUUCGUCAAAAAUAUCUGCUUUAAGUUUUUGACGGUACAUUUCUUAUCUCAGAGUGUAACUGAAACUGAAAGACAAAAUUGCAGUACUUGAAUAAACGUUGAACAUGCCAGAUAUUGCAUGUGUUUAUAUAAAAAAGACAAAAUAACAAAUAAAAAAUUUAUUUGUUUAA